rnacentral:rRNA from 1 species
AUUGAACGCUGGCGGCAUGCUUUACACAUGCAAGUCGAACGGUAACAGGCCGCAAGGUGCUGACGAGUGGCGAACGGGUGAGUAAUGCAUCGGAACGUGCCCAGUCGUGGGGGAUAACGCAGCGAAAGCUGCGCUAAUACCCCAUACGAUCUAUGGAUGAAAGCGGGGAACCGUAAGGCCUCGCGCGAUUGGAGCGGCCGAUGUCAGAUUAGGUAGUUGGUGGGGUGAAGGCUCACCAAGCCAACGAUCUGUAGCUGGUCUGAGAGGACGACCAGCCACACUGGGACUGAGACACGGCCCAGACUCCUACGGGAGGCAGCAGUGGGGAAUUUUGGACAAUGGGCGCAAGCCUGAUCCAGCAAUGCCGCGUGCAGGAAGAAGGCCUUCGGGUUGUAAACUGCUUUUGUACGGAACGAAACGGCUCUGGUUAAUACCUGGGGCUAAUGACGGUACCGUAAGAAUAAGCACCGGCUAACUACGUGCCAGCAGCCGCCGUAACAC